rnacentral:rRNA from 1 species
AACGAACGCUGGCGGCAGGCUUAACACAUGCAAGUCGAGCGCCCCGCAAGGGGAGCGGCAGACGGGUGAGUAACGCGUGGGAAUCUACCCAUCCCUACGGAACAACUCCGGGAAACUGGAGCUAAUACCGUAUACGCCCUUCGGGGAAAGGAUUUAUCGGGGAUGGAUGAGCCCGCGUUGGAUUAGCUAGUUGGUGGGGU